rnacentral:rRNA from 1 species
UACGUAGGGUGCAAGCGUUGUCCGGAAUUAUUGGGCGUAAAGAGCUCGUAGGCGGUCUGUCGCGUCGGCUGUGAAAACUCGGGGCUCAACCCCGGGCCUGCAGUCGAUACGGGCAGACUAGAGUGCGGUAGGGGGGACUGGAAUUCCUGGUGUAGCGGUGAAAUGCGUAGAUAUCUGGAGGAACACCGGUGGCGAAGGCGGCAUCCUGGACCAAUAUUGACGCUGAGGAGCGAAGCCAGGGGAGCAAACGGG